UACGUAGGGUGCGAGCGUUGUCCGGAAUUAUUGGGCGUAAAGGGCUCGUAGGCGGUUUGUCGCGUCGGGAGUGAAAACCUUGGGCUUAACUCAGGGCUUGCUUUCGAUACGGGCAGACUAGAGGUAUGCAGGGGAGAACGGAAUUCCUGGUGUAGCGGUGAAAUGCGCAGAUAUCAGGAGGAACACCGGUGGCGAAGGCGGUUCUCUGAGCAUGAUCUGACGCUGAGGAGCGAAAGUGUGGGGAGCGAACAGG
rnacentral:rRNA from 1 species